CUUAUUAGUUAGCGUAUUGCCUGAAGUGACUAUUCAGUACAGAUUCACAAGUCGACCCGCUAGCUACCAUCCCAUUGAAGCUGUUCAACAUCUCUCAGGUUCUAAAACCCAAUUUUGAAUAAUUCCAAGCCAACAUUAUGAUUGUAGCAACAUGCCUCAUGGUCUCAUUGGUGUUUUUUAUUCAUGGACAAAUGGUCAAUUCCUACGCCAUCUUCCCGCACAUGGGCACCUACAGACUCGACCGAGGCAAUCAACAUUUAGAAAUGGACGACGAGUCUUCUGGAACGAUGCCAGAAUGCAACGGAGAAAUGAGUCAAGACUUCAACACUGAAAUUUCGAAUCUCAGUGGAUGCUUUAAUUUCCAACCCCUGUUUUAACGAUGGAGGAUAUCCGAACUACACAGGAAGUGAAAGUGACAUGUACAUAUGCUCCUACGUCUAUGAGUUUGGGGUUACAGUAAAUGGAACGGUGACUUUAAAAAAGCAGGGUUCGAGUUUCAAGCACGGACACCAGUGGGAAGUUGCCUGGAUGGUGUUGGAGCAAAUCCUGUGAUGAGAGACUUAAGUGACGAUGAAGAAAACGGUCCACGGGACGAUUUUGUCACAUUUUGCGGCGGAUUAGUGAGGACAAAACCCGGAGUUUCUCGUUCAAUUCACUCACUAUUUUAACUCGGCGCCGAUGCUACAGUGAACGGCAACGGAGCCGAGGUUGAAAUCUGCUUUGAUUAAAAGAGCUGCUGGGGUCAAACCUCAUUGAUGUUUGUACUGUGAAGUGUGAAGUGUCAUUUUUAUUGCUUUUUUUAUUAUUUGCCUACUUCAGAGUUUCGAAAAUAAAUUGUUUCGUUUGA